rnacentral:rRNA from 1 species
GACGAACGCUGGCGGCGUGCUUAACACAUGCAAGUCGAACGAAAAUACCAAGCUUGCUUGGUUGAUUAGUGGCGAACGGGUGAGUAACACGUGAGUAACCUGCCCCUUACUUUCCUGGAUAACUGCUCGAAAGGGGAGCUAAUACGGGAUAUUCUGACCAGCCUGCAUGGGUUGGUGUGGAAAGGUUGCUAUUCUGGUAAGGGAUGGGCUCGCGGCCUAUCAGCUUGUUGGUGGGGUGAUGGCCUACCAAGGCUUCGACGGGUAGCCGGCCUGCGAGGGUGGACGGUCACACUGGGACUGAGAUCCGGCCCAGACUCCUACGGGCGGCAGCGGUGGGGAAUAUUGCACAAUGGGCGCAAGCCUGAUGCAGCGACGCCGCGUGAGGGAUGAAGGCCUUCGGGUUGUAAACCUCUUUCGUCAGGGAACAAGGCACUGCUUUUUUGGUGGUGUUGAGGGUACCUGGAUAAGAAGCGCCGGCUAACUACGUG